rnacentral:rRNA from 1 species
AACGAACGCUGGCGGCAGGCUUAACACAUGCAAGUCGAACGCCCCGCAAGGGGAGUGGCCGGCGGGUGAGUAACGCGUGGGAACAUACCCUUUUCUACGGAAUAGCUCUGGGAAACUGGAAUUAGUACCGUAUACGCCCUACGGGGGAAAGAUUUAUCGGGGAAGGAUUGGCCCGCGUUGGAUUAGCUAGUUGGUGGGGUAAAGGCCGACCAAGGCGACGAUCCAUAGCUGGUCUGAGAGGAUGAUCAGCCACAUUGGGACUGAGACACGGCCCAAACUCCUACGGGAGGCAGCAGUGGGGAAUACUGGCCAAUGGGGGCAAGGCUGAUCCAGCCAUGACGCGUGAGUGAUGAAGGCCGUAGGGUUGUAAAGCUAUUUCACCGAUGAAGAUAAUGACGGUAGUAGGAGAAGAAGCCCCGGCUAACUUCGUG